AACGCGAAGAACCUUACCAGCCCUUGACAUGGCAGGACGAUUUCCGGAGACGGAUUUCUUCACUUCGGUGACCUGCACACAGGUGCUGCAUGGCUGUCGUCAGCUCGUGUCGUGAGAUGUUGGGUUAAGUCCCGCAACGAGCGCAACCCUUGUCCUGUUUUGGCAUGUGCCACGAAAGUGGCGCGCAACUAUCAGGAGACCGCCAGCGAUAAGUUGGAGGAAGGUGGGGAUGACGUCAAGUCAUCAUGGCCUUUAUGUCCAGGGCUACACACGUGCUACAAUGGGCGGUACAAAGCGCCGCUAACCCGCGAGGGGGAGCUAAUCGCAAAAAACCGUCCUCAGUUCGGAUCGCAGGCUGCAACCCGCCUGCGUGAAGCUGGAAUCGCUAGUAAUGGCAUAUCAGAACGAUGCCGUGAAUACGUUCCCGGGCCUUGU
rnacentral:rRNA from 1 species